UACAGAGGGUGCGAGCGUUGUCCGGAAUCACUGGGCGUAAAGGGCGCGUAGGCGGCCAUGCGUGUCUUCCGUGAAAUCCCUCGGCUUAACUGAGGACGUGCGGAAGAAACUGCAAGGCUCGAGUCCGGGAGAGGGGGGUGGAAUUCCCAGUGUAGCGGUGAAAUGCGUAGAUAUCGGGAGGAACACCUGUGGCGAAAGCGGCGCACUGGACCAUAACUGACGCUGAGGCGCGAAAGCUAGGGGAGCAAACAGG
rnacentral:rRNA from 1 species